rnacentral:tRNA from 1 species
GCCUCUCUAUUCCAAUUGGCAGAGAAAACGGCUUUAAACCCCGUAAAGUCCAGUUCAAAUCUGGGGAGAGGUACCA